rnacentral:rRNA from 1 species
CCGGGGUGAGUAAUGUCUGGGAAACUGCCUGAUGGAGGGGGGUAACUACUGGAAACGGUAGCUAAUACCGCAUAACGUCGCAAGACCAAAGUGGGGGACCGUUCGGGCCUCAUGCCAUAAGAUGUGCCCAGAUGGGAUUAGCUAGUAGGUGGGGUAACGGCUCACCUAGGCGACGAUCCCUAGCUGGUCUGAGAGGAUGACCAGCCACACUGGAACUGAGACACGGUCCAG